rnacentral:lncRNA from 1 species
UUUGACAAUUGUUAAAUUGACUCCCUCCGCGAUGCGCCAAGCACCAAAAUGAUGGUGUUUUAUGACUAGGACCUAAAUUAGCCAUAACUUCUUGCCCGGGUAUCGGAUUUGGGUGAAUCUUUUAUCGACAACAAGCUCAUUCAGUUCCCCACACUACUAAAAUGAUUAACAUUCCAUAUUUGCAUAGUAUUUAUUUCUUUUG